rnacentral:rRNA from 1 species
GGCUUAGAGUUUGAUCAUGGCUCAGGAUAAACGCUGGCGGCGCACAUAAGACAUGCAAGUCGAACGGACUUAACCUCUUGCUUGCAAGAGGAGCGGUUAGUGGCGGACUGGUGAGUAACACGUAAGAAAUCUACCUAUCAGAGGGGAAUAACAGUGAGAAAUCACUGCUAAUACCGCAUAUGCCAUAGUUAUCGCAUGAUAAUAGUGGGAAAGAAGCAAUUCGCUGAUAGAUGAGCUUGCGGCUGAUUAGCUAGUUGGUGAGGUAACGGCCCACCAAGGCGACGAUCAGUAGCCGGACUGAGAGGUUGAACGGCCACAUUGGGACUGAGAUACGGCCCAGACUCCUACGGGAGGCAGCAGUCGGGAAUAUUGCGCAAUGGAGGAAACUCUGACGCAGUGACGCCGCGUAUAGGAAGAAGGUUUUCGGAUUGUAAACUAUUGUCCACAGGGACGAAAAGGACUGUACCUGUGAAGAAAGCUCCGGCUAACUACGUGCCAGCAGCCGCGGUAAUACGUAGGGAGCAAGCGUUAUCCGGAAUUAUUGGGUGUAAAGGGUGCGUAGACGGGAUAACAAGUUAGUUGUGAAACCCCUCGGCUCAACUGAGGAACUGCAACUAAAACUAUUAUUCUUGAGUGCAGGAGAGGAAAGUG